rnacentral:tRNA from 6 species
ACGGGAAGUAGCUCAGCUUGGUAGAGCACUUGGUUUGGGACCAAGGGGUCGCAGGUUCGAAUCCUGUCUUCCCGA